rnacentral:lncRNA from 1 species
GUAAGUGCCCCUUCUUUAAAAGAUGAACACUUCUGGAGCAGGCCCAGCGACGUAGUGGUUAACUUCACAUGCCCCACUGUGGCCCAGGGUUUGCGGGUUUGGAUCCUUGCUGCAGACCUACCCAUUGCUUGUCAAGCCAUGCUGUGGCAGGCGUCCCACAUAUGAAAUAGAGGGGGAUGGGCACGGAUGUUAGCUCAGGGCCAGUCCUCCUCAAAUAAAUAAAUAAAAUAAAAGAUGAACACUUCUGAUAAUAUUAUCUCAUGUCCUUUAGAAUAAACACCUUAAGUAUGAAUCUCUUCUCUGUCUGCCUACAUCUGAGUCUUGUUAAAAAUCAAUGUCUCCAUUAUAACAGACAAGACGAAAUGAAUGGGAAAGGUCAGAAAAUCCCAGAAACUUAUGAUAUUCUAAAAUGAGAAUGGAAGAUUGGGCGUCAUUUCACCUCUGAGUAGACACAGCCUUUACCGUUGAAGAAUUAUGGAGAACUGUGGCUGAUUAUUCCAAAGGGAAUGAAGAGGGCCGUGAAAGAUACCAGUGCUCUCCGUCGGCUCCCCCGGUACAUAGUUGUAUAUUCUUCGUUGUGGGUCCUUCUAGUUGUGGCAUGUGGGACGCUGCCUCAGCGUGGUUUGAUGAGCAGUGCGAUGUCCGCGCCCAGGAUUUGAACCAAUGAAACACCGGGCCGCCUGCAGCGGAGCGCGGGAACUUAACCACUCGGCCCC